AGUGAACGCUGGCGGUAGGCCUAACACAUGCAAGUCGAACGGCAGCACAGUAAGAGCUUGCUCUUACGGGUGUCGAGUGGCGGACGGGUGAGGAAUACAUCGGAAUCUACUUUUUCGUGGGGGAUAACGUAGGGAAACUUACGCUAAUACCGCAUACGACCUACGGGUGAAAGCAGGGGAUCUUCGGACCUUGCGCGAUUGAAUGAGCCGAUGUCGGAUUAGCUAGUUGGCGGGUUAAAGGCCCACCAAGGCGACGAUCCGUAGCUGGUCUGAGAGGAUGAUCAGCCACACUGGAACUGAGACACGGUCCAGACUCCUACGGGAGGCAGCAGUGGGGAAUAUUGGACAAUGGGCGCAAGCCUGAUCCAGCCAUACCGCGUGGGUGAAGAAGGCCUUCGGUUUGUAAAGCCCUUUUGUUGGGAAAGAAAAGCAGCGGGUUAAUACCCCGCUGUUCUGACGGUACCCAAAGAAUAAGCACCGGCUAACUUCGUG
rnacentral:rRNA from 1 species